AUAAAGAACUGACAGGGGGGUUCCUCCCAGGGCGAGGCUUGUCCAUUGUACUCAGGGUGUGCUGAUCCCUGCGAUUUGCCCAAACGCUGGGAACUGGACUGCAUCAUUUGUGGUACUGGGAUACUGCUUUCUGGCUCUCCCCAU
rnacentral:snRNA from 1 species